CAUGUACCAUGCCAGAUGGCAAAACAAACAAUGGCUUUCUCUUAAGCACUUCAUUCACGGGCAGAUCAAAAGCUGUAUCACCUUCAGACUCCUCAAACUCCAAUUGUGCGCACAAAAACAUAUACAAAAUACUGCCUGGAUAAUUAUCCUUCAGGAACUAAUGCAAUAGUAGCUGUGCUUGCAUACACAGGAUACGACAUGGAGGAUGCCAUGAUUUUAAACAAGUCAUCUGUUGAACGUGGGAUGUGUCAUGGAAAAAUAUACCAGACGGAAACAUCGACUGUGUGAUGGUAAGAGCCAGUCAGAUCGAGGACAAACAAUUUUUAAAAGAGAACAUUCAGAUAAAGCAAUAUCUUCUUUUGUUGAUUCGGAUGGACUUCCAUAUAUUGGGCAGGUUAUACAUGGAAAUGAACCUUACUGCAGUACCAUUAAUCAGGUGACAAAUUCAAAGAGAACCUACACCCGUAAGGGUUCAGAAGUGGCUAUUGUGGACUAUGUUGCGUUGAUACGAAAAUAAGCAGCA